ACUUUUAACAACGGAUCUCUUGGUUCUCGCAUCGAUGAAGAACGUAGCAAAGUGCGAUAACUAGUGUGAAUUGCAUAUUCAGUGAAUCAUCGAGUCUUUGAACGCAUCUUG
rnacentral:rRNA from 1 species